AGUGAACGCUGGCGGUAGGCCUAACACAUGCAGGUCGAACGGCAGCACAGGAGAGCUUGCUCUCUGGGUGGCGAGUGGCGGACGGGUGAGGAAUACAUCGGAAUCUACUCUGUCGUGGGGGAUAACGUAGGGAAACUUACGCUAAUACCGCAUACGACCUACGGGUGAAAGCAGGGGACCUUCGGGCCUUGCGCGAUUGAAUGAGCCGAUGUCGGAUUAGCUAGUUGGCGGGGUAAAGGCCCACCAAGGCGACGAUCCGUAGCUGGUCUGAGAGGAUGAUCAGCCAUACUGGAACUGAGACACGGUCCAGACUCCUGCGGGAGGCAGCAGUGGGGAAUAUUGGACAAUGGGCGCAAGCCUGAUCCAGCCAUACCGCGUGGGUGAAGAAGGCCUUCGGGUUGUAAAGCCCUUUUGUUGGGAAAGAAAUCCAGCUGGCUAAUACCCGGUUGGGAUGACGGUACCCAAAGAAUAAGCACCGGCUAACUUCGUGCCAGCAGCCGCCGUAA
rnacentral:rRNA from 1 species